CUGUCUACUGAAAUCUUCUGUUUCCUUGCCUCUCUUAUUGGGCUGAAGCAUAGGGGCCAUAUUUUCAUUCCCAAAAUAAUUCACUGGAUCAACACCACAUCCAGCUGGAACUGAAAAAAAAAAUAAAUAAAAUAAGAAAUCAUAUCAGGUAUCAGUUAAAAUACAUUAUGGCGCCCCAUUUGAGAGGUUGGGAGGCAAAGAAAUGCUUUUUGAAAAAGCACCAUUUUAGAUAUUGAAAAAAGCAGUUUAGUUAUUUUGGAGUUCUAAUGACUAAAACAUGUCAAAUUUAACUUUAAACCAAUUUUUAAUACCCUUUGACUAACAUAUUUAAUGAUGUGUUUUUCUCAACCACAGCUCCAAUAGCAAUGACAAACAGAUGUAUAUGUAUAUAUUUAGAUACAUAGAGAGAGAAAGAGAGCAACGGAGGGGAGAGGAUAUAAUGUAAAACCAAAACCAAAGAGAUAUUUGUAGUUCUGAUAUCUAGUUGCAGUGUUAGAAGUGAUCAAUAAUAUUCCAAUCUUAAUUUAUGUUUGCUAUCUUACCUACUUUAUAUCCAUGGCAUUAUAUGAACUUCAACUAUCAGAGAUAUAAUGUAUUACUUGAAACUUUGAUCCCUUGCACUGAAUGCAACUAUGGAUUUGCAAUAAUAGUAAAUCCUUAAAUAAAUUAUACAUCUUUUCACAACUUGAAAAAGGAUAUGCCGAAACUUACAAAUAGUAUAUAUUUUAUUUAUAAAAAUUUCACAUAGCACAUUUAAAGGAAGCAGUAAAGAGAGAAAAGGCAGCUUUUUUUAUUGUAAAUAAUAAUAAAAAAUUUCAGCAGGCCUUAUUACACUUAAAUAUACCACAUUAAAUGUAAUCGUAAGGCAUUGUUGAACAAUGUAUAUACUAUUUUAGAACUUUGACAAAUUUAGCAUUAUGUCUUUCAAAGUUUGGCUGCAAUUGACAGACCAAUAUGAAAGGUGUUUCAUAUAAUUGACAAAAUUAAUAAGACAGGUCAUAAUUGAAAUUCAACCAAAAGUUUGGAUAUUCUUUAGUUGUUAACCCUAAAAUUUACCCUAUUCUCAAUCAUUCAACAAACUUAGACAAAUCAUAACAUGUACAUAGUGCAGAGAAAAUUAAUCAAAACUGUGAUGAUACCAACAACAAUUGUUGGAUAACUAUUUUCCUUUCGGAAAAAGAGGGUAACAGCAAUCACAAUGCUGCCAGAAUUGAAAAUAAAAUUUCAGAAAGCUAAUACAUCAUAAGCAGAAAUUUAAAUUUAUGAAUUUACAUUAUCACUGCAGUUUUUCACAUAUCCUUGUCUCAAACAUUAACCACGUUUGAGAUGUUCUAUCCUGUAAGGCAUGACAAGAAAGACAAAUUUGCUCCUCGAUAGCACUUACUAGACAAGUUCCCCACUAACAAGAUAACUUUCUAGAAGGUAAAUAACUAAUAAAACCAGCAACGGCACACAUAUUUAUACAACAAAUACAGUAUAAAUUCAUGUAGUAAGAAUAAUCAUAAGUUUUUUUUCUGCAUAGAUGAAACUUACAAUUACCAAAUAACUGCAGCUGA
rnacentral:misc_RNA from 1 species